rnacentral:rRNA from 1 species
UUGACGGGCCCGCACAAGCAGCGGAGCGUGUGGUUUAAUUCGAUGCUACACGAAGAACCUUACCAGGGUUUGACAUGCAAGUGGUAGGAAACCGAAAGGCGACCGACCCUUCGGGGAGCUUGCACAGGUGCUGCAUGGCUGUCGUCAGCUCGUGUCGUGAGAUGUUCGGUUAAGUCCGCUAACGAGCGCAACCCUCGCUGUGUGUUACAAGUGUCACACGGUACUGCCGGUCUUAAGCCGGAGGAAGGUGGGGAUGACGUCAAGUCAGCAUGGCCUUUAUGUCCUGGGCUACACACACGCUACAAUGGCCAACACAAUAGGUUGCUAAGCCGCGAGGUGGAGCCAAUCCUCAAAGUUGGUCUCAGUUCAGAUUGCAGGCUGCAACCCGCCUGCAUGAAGAUGGAGUUGCUAGUAACCGCAGGUCAGCUAUACUGCGGUGAAUACGUUCCCGGGGCUU